UUGCACUUUUGCUGUAACAAAACAAAUUUCCCACCUGUGGGACUAAUAAAGGCCAUCUUAUCUUAUCUUAUCUUAUCUUAUUAAGGUUAUUUACAGUAACUUACUGUAUUUUUUAAAAUUGCGGUAGUAGUUAUACCUACCGUUAACACAUUAGCAGUAGUGCUACUGUAUUAUGUGAUUUGAAUGGUUCAUCAUACUGUUUGUGUAUUUUUACUCUUUCAGUGGUUGGUUGCAAUAGUGCAUUACAUUUUAACUCUUUCACUGCUAACCAUUUCCAGAUUUUCCUCCAACCUAUGCCAUUUGUCAGUAUGAUACCAGUGAAAGUAUUAUGGUUUUGACUUUUUAGGGGACUUGCCUGUGUGUAAGGUCUCCUUGUAGGGAAAUUUUAUAAAGCAAGGUUCUCCAAAUCUCUCCCAAAAUUCUGUGUUUUCUUAAUUGACUUCCAUUCCUAUGUAAAGACUAUAAGGUUAAGUACAAAUAAAAAAAAGCAGAAUUCACAUUGUUGCAUCUCCAUCACUUAUCUCUGAUUAACCCUGAACAAGAUUCACACUUCCUUUUGUUAAUUUUUUUACUUGCCACUAUUCUGUUGUUGGAUUUCACUUAGGCUGUUGCUGCUGUCUGUUUUUGUGUAAUUUUGUACUUGUGACAAGUAGUGAAUAAAGUUAUUUAAAAAAGACGCAGAAAGGCGAACUUCAGUCAGUGGAGAAUAUUGUAAUAAUUUGGCGGAGGCUUCUCAGUGGAGCAGUAACUGAAUUGCUCAUUUACUGAACGUGCAACAUGUACAGAACUCUUCUGGGAACUAGUCAACCCAACUUAGUGAAACACACACUGAAUGCAUGCUGGCCCCGCCCACGUACCUCUACCAACCACCACUCCAUAUCCUGACUGACAUGACCUGUGAUCCAGUGAUUGACAGGAGAGGAAAGACAGGCCAACUUUGUUAGCUCUUCGUUAGGAUAUGCUCGAGAGGACAAAAGAUUUUGCACCUCGUUAUUGUUGGACCUCUGUGUGGAAACUGCAAACAGGACGCCAUAAGUGUGGUGUAUAGCUGUCCUCCUGCCCUUGCUGGCCGCGCUGACAGUGUGAUGUAGCCUCAGUUCUUUGAGAGACAAGACAAAACAGCAGGGAAUAAUUUCAUGUCUGCAAGCCGCUGGAUGAUCAGUUU